CGGAGCCUGCGGGUCGGGACGCUGGGGGCAGCUCCUGAAAAAAGCCCCGCACACCGCCUUACGUUCUUCAGCUUGAAGAUGUGCCUCCGCCCCUUGCCCUUCGUGGAAACCUUCUUCUCCGCGGCGGGCGCUGACUUGUACUUGGUGUUCCGCAGCCGCGCAGAGCGCCGGUGGAUCUCCUGCUUACUCUGCGGGGGGAAUGACCGGACCAUCGAAGACCCUACCAAUUUCUUCUGCCUUCCAGGACAGAAUGAAUAUCAAAUCACGGGGAAUGGAGUUGGAUGGCUAAAUUAUAGCCAAGCAGAAAUUGGACUGCUGUGCUCAAUAACACUGUCUGUAUACGCUCCAGGAGGCACAACUGGAUUUUUAAGUGAGUGCUUGCUGCUGAAUUAUAUGUAAAGACAUCAUGGUCAGAAGGAGGGCCUCAAACUCCAGAUGCCUGAACAGAAAAUAAAUACAAUCAAUUUCAAAAUAAGA